rnacentral:hammerhead_ribozyme from 1 species
AUCCAGCUGACGAGUACAAAAUAGGACGAAGCGCGCGUGUUGGAU